GAUGAACGCUGGCGGCGUGCCUAAUACAUGCAAGUCGAGCUAACAGACGAGGAGCUUGCUCCUCUGACGUUAGCGGCGGACGGGUGAGUAACACGUAGAUAACCUACCUAUAAGACUGGUAUAACUUCGGGAAACCGGAGCUAAUACCGGAUAAUAUAUUGAACCGCAUGGUUCAAUAGUGAAAUACGGUUGUGCUGGCACUUAUAGAUGGAUCCGCGCCGCAUUAGCUAGUUGGUAGGUUAACGGGUUAUCAAGGCAACGAUGCGUAGACGACGUGAGAGAGUGAUCGGCCACCCGGGAACUGAGACAGGGACCAUAGUCCUACGGUAGGCCGCAGUCUGGAAUCUUCCGCAGUAGGCGGAAGCAUGGCGGAGCAGCGCCGCGUGAGUGAUGAAGGUGUCCCGAUCGUAAUACUCUGUUAUUAGGGAAGAACCAAUGUGUACGUAACUAUGCACGUCUUGACGGUACCUGGUCAGAAAGCCACGGCUAACUACGUG
rnacentral:rRNA from 1 species